rnacentral:rRNA from 1 species
UGAAAAAUUAGCGGAUGACUUGUGGCUGGGGGUGAAAGGCCAAUCAAACCGGGAGAUAGCUGGUUCUCCCCGAAAGCUAUUUAGGUAGCGCCUCGUGAACUCAUCUUCGGGGGUAGAGCACUGUUUCGGCUAGGGGGUCAUCCCGACUUACCAACCCGAUGCAAACUACGAAUACCGAAGAAUGUUAUCACGGGAGACACACGGCGGGUGCUAACGUCCGUCGUGAAGAGG